rnacentral:lncRNA from 1 species
AAACAAGUCUUAAUUUUGAAAUCUAUGCAGAAUCUUCUGCUGCUGGAGGCUUUUAUGUAUUAACCUUAACAGAAGGCUGAAGGGUUGAAAUGAAAUCCUUGGCAAAGGUACAAGAUUCAGAGCGUUGCAUAUCUUGCAGUUCAGGUUUGGCUUGUCUGCUUUUCAGCUCUUCUAGACAUUGGAAAUUCCAGUUUGUGUUUAUUUUCUCUGGAUUCCUUCCCACAAGACAGAAGUGAAUUCAGCAUGGAUUAUUGGGGAGAGCCUUGGCUGGGAAUAAGGAUAAUUGCAGCCUCUGGCUGUGCCACAGUUUCACUGAUGAUUUCUUUUAAGUUACUCACCUGCACUGUAUCUGUUUCCUCAGCUGUAAAAUGUGGGUAAUUACCUCCAUUGUAAAAUGUUACAGGGUCUGCUGGUAAUUAUAUGAACGAAGUGCUAAUUACAGUGAUUAUCCCUUGGACCUAGUCUAGAUCUGGCUGAUGUUCCUGUUGUGAUGAACGUAUGAAACAAAUACUACAACUUGCUUUUCUCCAUUAUUUGCGAGGGGCCUGGAAGGUGCCGCAUCACAGGAUGUGUUCCCGGUGAGAAGCUCUGCUGCCCUGUCACCCAGGUCCCUUUGUUCAUUUCUUGUUCCCCUCUGCCCUCGUGUCUUACGGGCGUGGGCUGAGGAGGGGCUGAGGAAUUACUGAUUCAGUAGCUGGAUCCACAUAUGAUCUGAUAGCCAGGGUUUAUGCUGUGGCUUCACUUUUCCUCUUGGGGAUAUGAAGGCAGCAGCCAGGGAGGUACCAGUUGAGUUGGGCCAGUCUGUGCUGCCUAGUGGCCUCCAUUCUUUAAGAAGUUCUGACCUUGAUGCCAGGAGAGGUGUCCUUCCAGCUGUGGGGAUUAUUUCCCUCCUGUAAAAGCCUACAGCUUGCAAGACUUUAUUAUCAAACAUUUUAUUUGCCUUUCUCUUCUCCGUUUAUUUAGGACACAUUUUCUUUGUAGCUGGGAAUAGCUCUACUAUCCCCUGAGCARGGCUGGGUAGUGGAGGAAGAAUUUAUAUUCUUCAAGGUAGAAAUGGAGUGUUCUCAUCCAGAAAAUCCUGCUGCUGCCUCUGGGAAGGKGCUGUAGUUUUUGAUGGUAGUAAUAAGUCACGUCGUGUAUCCAGUAAUGAUGAGAGUCUCCUCUCCUACCCAAUCCYUGCCUUCCCUGGACACAGACCUCAUGGCACAGUAACAACAAAAAUCCCGUGCUUGGUUCCUCUUGCUGCAGCUCUGCCUGCUCUCUUCUGCCACAUCUGAUUCCCCACCUCUGGGUUUGYAGAGGGAUUUUCUGCCUGCUUUGCCUCCAGCCUCUCUACACCUGCUUCCCAUCAGCCUCAGCCUUUCUUUGCCCUGGAAGAGYAAGGUUCAGUUAUGUCUUCAGAAUUCAGUAGCUGAGCAGCUCUUCCUUUCUCAGAGUUUGACGAGUGCAAUGAAUUUUUAACUUUCAAGAGAAGGUUUUAGUUCCUGUCUGGGAUGAUGGUUUGGAAAGGCUUUCUGGCAAUGGAAAGGCAGUCUUUAAUUGCAAUUUUGCACCUGAAUUUUUCAGGCUAGAUGCUCUUCUCUGACGGCUUCUGUCUGAUUGAUUCUACGGCCUGUUCUUUUCCAUGACAGGAUGCUUGAGUGCUCCAGGGAUGGAAGCAACUUGCCACUCCUGAUAGGUGAAAGUGGUCAUUGCCAGGCARUGAGGGUAUGGAAAGAACUUCUCUUGUUCGGUGGAGGAAAAAGAUGAGGGAUUAUCAUCUCUCCCAUGAUUUGCUUUUGCCUUGGUUAGAGCAUCUAAACUAGAGGGGUGUGUCUGCAGCGWGUGUGUGCUUCACCUAAUGCUCAUCUGCCAGACUUGUUUGAAAAUCCUUUGUUAGGAAAGCAAAAAAUUUGGCUUGUUCCUGCAGAAGCAUCAUCUAAUAAGAUUAAUUUAUUUGGUGUGAGAGGCUUCAAUAGUGAAUUAUGCUUUAUCCAUGUUGUUAUUGCCCAUUGCACAAGUGAACUGAUUUGUGUGCUCUCUGCAAGUCACAUGCUGAAUGAAGGAUGUUAGAUUACUGUGUAACCUGGAGGGUAAUCAGGGAUUCAGAUUUGAGAUUUAUCCAAGUCUAAUUUUGCAGCAUUCUUGAAAUAUCUGGGAUUUCUGUAUCUUGGUACCACUCUGAAUGCUGUACAUUAAGAGUGAUAUAUAUUUUUUAAACUUAAAAGUUCAGUAACAUAAUAAUUAUAAACUUUCUCGAGUUUUCUUUCUCUUAAAAAUGAGUGUAUUGUUUGCUUUUCAUUGAGGUGCAAAGUGUUGCGUAAAAUCUCUGCAACUUGUGACAG